AUUCCAUGGAUUUCUGCUCUUAUAUGUAUUUUCUAUUUUCUCUCUUGUACAGCUAUUCUGUUACUAGUUUUUGAGUUGGAAACUUAGAUGACUGGUUUUUAGCCUUUCUUCUUUCCUAACAUAUGCAUUCCAGGCUCUACAUUCCCCUCGAAAUGCUGCUUGAGCUGAAUUAUUACCAGUCGGGUCCUUCUCCUGCCCACGUGAAGGAAGAAGGCGCAGUGGGGCUGAGGCCUCACUAGGGCACCCACACGGAGCGCUGCGCUCAGCCUUCUGGACCCGGUACCUCCCCAGGCUCUGAGGACAGCAGCAGCCCCAGGACGGACGGAGUUCUUCGGGCUGGGAAGUCCAAGAUCAAGGCACUACCAUGUGAUGCAGGCAGAAGGUGGAAGGACAAAAGGGAAGAAACCUCAUGUCCCCACAUGGUGGAAAAGCAGAAGUGCAAGAGAGAACCAGGAUCUUACUUUGUCACCCAGGCUGGAAUGCAGUGGCCCAAUCAUGGCUUACUGCAGCCUCGACCUCCUGCACUCAAGCGAUCCUCCCACCUCAGCGUCUGGAGUAGCUGGGACCACAGGCGUGUGCCAUCACACCUUACAAAUUUUUGUGUAUUUUGUACAGAUGGGGCUUCACCAUGUUGCUCAGGCUGGUCUCAAACUCCUGGGCUAAAACAAUCUGUCUGCCUCAGCCUUCCAAAGUGCUGAGAUUACAGGCAUGAGCCACAGUGCCUGGCCAAAGUAUUUCUUUAUACAUGUGUCUUUAUGUGUAUGAUUAUUUAUAUACCUAUAUAUAUAAUACUGACAACUGUUAAAGAUACCAAAAAGCACAAAGACGAGUAAAAAGAGUGAAUAUAACACAACAAAUGCCAACUCAGAGAGAACAAGUGUUAACAUUUUGUCCUGCUUGUUUCCAGGGUUUUAAAAAACUAAGUAAAUAAAACAUUCAAAUUCUUCUGAUCCCAUUCCCAUACCUCCCUUCCUCCACUGGGAGAACCAAUAUCAUGAUUUGGUGUGGAUCUUUCUUAUCAUUUUGUCACUUUGUAUACAUUUGCCUGUCUCUUUAUCUGUUUAUCUACCUACCUAUCUAUCUGCCUAUCAUCUAUCUAUCUGAUCAUUCUCUGUAUAUUUCUAAUUCUGCAGAAAGAAGGAACAGAAGGAGCUCUUGCUUGAGUAAGGCACUGGUCAUGCCUCAAUUAGAACCCAUGCAGGUUACUCAACUCUGCAGAGAGGGACAGAAGGGUCUUCUACCAACCCAGCAUCUGCACCCCUGAAGUCAGACAUGGCUGUGGUCGCUUUUGGGUUUUGACCUGUUAGCAAUGUUUUCAAAAAGGACCAAGAGAAUGCAGGCAUACAAGCACUUUGUGGAUGGUGGGCCCUGUGCAGAUUUGGCCUGUCACAAACCCUGCUUCAUACACAUCCUCAUAGCAAUCACAGCAGUGAAAACUGGGAAGACUCGCCCAGGUGCCCGCUCCCCACUGGCCCGCCCUUACUCCCUCCACCUCUCCACAGCAACUCAUCCUUUGGACCACCCAAACCUGUCAGAAGAGUGUCUCCGUCUCCAUUUUUGACUUUCCAGAGAGGUCUGAAGCCACCUCCACACAGUGAGGUGGCAGACUUGUGGACAGGUCCUGAAGCCAUACCAGGAGCUGACCAGCCCCAGAAAAUGAGGACAUGGCUGCAGGGAUAGAAAGCCAAACUGUGGGUCAAGGGGACUUCAGCCUGUCCAUCUGGGGGCACGCUUAAAGGUCUAUGAUGGGGCCAAAAAGAAAGGUGCAGGCUAAGGACAGAAGGACAGCUCAGCCUGAACAGCCCCAUCCUGCAGCCCACCCCAGCCCUGAGCCUCUGGAACUCUAUCACUGCAUCCUGGGGCACCUGCCCCCCAAGCCCCCACCCCAGGAAGAGUAUCUAUGCUGUCAGAGGCUGCAGACGGUGCCAGCAGAAGGUGGAGAGGAAGCUUGGGGCCUUUGGUGGGUGGGACGCAUCAACACACACAGCCGCAGCAGCUGCACAUAGAUCAACAGGCCAUCCGUGCCUCGAACACCUACAUCAACGGCCAAGGCCUUGGCCACCCUGCCCAGCUCCGUGCACCGCUAGUUGCCUUGGUGGAUCACAGCCGCUCCACGCUCCACAGGAAGAAUCCCAAACCCGGUGACCGGCUGCCCCAGCAUUCCAAGUACCUGCUGCUGAUACCUCUACCCUUGGUUAGACACAAUUCCAGCAGGGCAGGACCACUUGCCCUGAGGAGAAGAGCCCAGGGACUCGUCACAGGCAGGGAACCACUGCCUCUUCUAUCCUGCCUGGAGCAUAACGGCGGUCCAAUGAGUAGACAGGUGGACUCACCACUCAGAUACUCUGCUGUGGCCAACGUGGGGAAGACUGAAUGAUGGAGAGCCUGUUAUACAAACCACAGGGGAACACUUGCCAUUGUUUCUGCUAUUGUCCCACAGUUGUUUAAGAUGGAAGCAGGAGCCCCUGGAAGCUUUCAGAGAAGAAGCUAGCCAGAAACUCACAAGCCCUUUCCUUGAGAAGCUCUGGCCCCAUCACUGCGGAGUGCUGGCCAUGCUCCCUGGUCACUGCCCAUGGGACGGCCAGCUCCCGGGCAGGUGGUGCUAAGCAGGUUGGCGGGUGUUACCCCUCCCAGUCUCCUCAAGAUUAGAAUCUGUUCCAGGCCACCAGACAGAGCUCCCUGCCAACGCUCUCACUAGAACUGUUCCUGGAUGUGCUUCGAGAGCUGUGGCCAAGCUCUUGUGACAACACCUCCUGGAAUAACAAAGGGAUCCUUUGUGGGCAAUCGGCUCCAGCUAACAGCUUGCGGAUGGCUGGACUCCCUCUGGCAUUUUCUUUUCAAGACAGCCGCCCCCCCAUUCCCAUCCAUUCAGCUCAAGACAAUCUGAGAUCGUACACAGAUAAUUGGGCCAUUUGUUCAACCUGAAGAGAUGAAUGUUCUCCAUGUUAGGGAAGAUGGUCACCAGCAAUCCAACUGGCAACAUUGCAGCUCUGGAAAUGAAGGCAGCUCCACGGUCUCUUCCCCCAUCCCUUGAUUACCCGUGUGGCCACAGGGUGGGGUACAGUGACUAGAGAGUCCACUAGAAUGCCAUGAUUGGAGUGAGGGUACAGCAGUUCCCCAAAGUGGGGCAAUUGAGGUGGCCCUGAAGAGGAAAAAACAACAGACAUCCAGGAGAAAAUCACUGGAGCUUGAGGGGCCUCUAGGAGGACACAUUCUGACCUGGAGACCUGGAGGGCUCCCGUGAGAGGAACAACUGAAAUCUCCAACAACCACAGGCUGAGGAGCUUGGGCUGGGCAGGUUUACAAAGACCACUGCCUCAGAAAGGACCGCGAGCGGUUGAUCUGCAGGCUCUGAGCAUGAGGCAGCAGCAAAUGGACCCUCACUGGGGACACCCAGAGGCCAGGUCCCGUGCAGGACCAGGAGUCAGCAGCCAACCCCUGCUCAUCUGCUGGGGGUCCGUGGUCCGCUAAGCGGCCCCACAGAGGGCCCUCUCCCAUCAGGCUGGCUCUGGGAUGACUGGGUGGUGGCCCUCACAGCAGUAGCUAACAUUCUGGGAACCAGACUCCCUGGGCACUGCCCCACUGCCUCCUGCCAACAGUGCUGUUAUGUGGAUUUUAGGCUUUAGAAUCAGAAACAGGCCCUAAAUUAAGCACAGAAAGAGAGAAAGGGUGGGAGGGAAAGAGAAGAGGAGAGACUGAGGAGAUAAAGGGAGGCAGAGAGAGAAAGUGUUGGAAGGACACGGGACAGUUGAAGGAAAAGACGAACAGCCGCUUUCGGGAUAGACUGGGGCAGGACCAAAGCCUGCUGCUCUGCCGACCCAGGACCAACCCCCUUCAGUCCCUGUGACUGCCCCGGAAGUCCAGUUCCCAGGACUAACGCGGGCCGGUACCUGCCCCUGGGAUCAGGGAUCAGGUUCUGUGAUUGACCACCCCACCAUGCGGAGCUGAGGAGGGGCCACUAACUCAAAGGAAGGGUGAGAAGGAGGGAAGUAUAUUUUGGACAGACAAAACCAGCAGCUCUCAGGCACCACUAGCUCCAUUUUCCAGGUGAGGAGACAGGCUUAGGGAGGGGGCAGGACUUGUCAACAUCACAGUGACAGUGAGUGACAGGACUUCAGCCCAACUAGCUUGACUGCAGUACCACAUCUUAAUCACUGUGUUUGCUCCCCACCCAAUCACGAUGGGUGCCUGGUGGGGACACCUCAUUUGAUCACAAAUCGUAAUUUAACAAAAUAACACAGUGGUUAAGAGUUUGGGGACCUGUUAGAAGGUCACUACAGUCAAACAGGCAAGAGAGGAAAGGACUAGCCUGUCCCAAGACAGUAGAUACGAUGACAGGAGGACAUGAAUCAGUAGAUGCCAGAGAGUGUGAGAAGAAAUCUGUCACGAUUGAGAACUCACAGGACUGGGAAGGGAGGAAGGAGUGGGGUCUACAUUGGCCUCAGGCUUCUGGUUUGGGCAGUGGGUGGAUGGAACUGUCCUUCACUGAGGUGCAAAGCCCAGGAGGAGGAAGCGGUGGCAGUGGAGGUGGGAGAGAGAGGAGUUUCAUUUUGGAAAUGUUGGAUUUGAGGUGCCUGCAGGACACCCAAGUGGAAACGCCCAGUGUUCAGUGGGUCCGUGGGGUGUGGAGCAUGGGAGAGAGCCAUAGGUGGAGCUGGUAUUCCCCCAAUGGCGUGGUAUAGUAUGAGGCUGGCAAAGGCCUGAGGACGGAGCCUGGGCAUCAUGGCAUUUAGGGGCAGGGAAGCCUUCUCAAGUGAGAAAGCAUCAGUAGCUCAUUCUUUCCUUGCAUGAGUCUGAUUCUGUCUGCCUCUUCCUUCCCUGUCUACUCCCCCAACUUUGCCUUACCCAGGUAAGUCAUUGUUUUUUUUUUUUUUUAGAUGAGUUUCACUAUUGUCACUCAGGCUGGAGUACAAUGGCUCAA